GAGGAGGGGGACUCCAAAACCAUUUCUGUCUAUUUAAGGAGAAAGCUGUCAGAAUCAGCUCUUGGAACUCUAGAGUGCACUUAAAAGCAGAGUGGGCAGGGAAAUGUUUAAUGAAGGAAACAGUGGAGGUUUUGCAAAGACUCUGAGGUGUUUGAACUUACCCACUUACAGUGCCCCUCUGCUGCCAACUUAGUGUUGGUCACAAAGAUGGCAACUGGCAUACCCAGUGCAGUUUGUUGGUACCACAGAGGCAAAACUGGUCCUCUACUACUCUAAUUUUUGUUUUCCUGUUAUCUGGGGCCUAACACCUCCACUUUUUUUUUUCUUCCCCCAGAUAGACUGAAGGAAAGACACCACAACACUGGAUGCUUCUUUCAUUGCAGUGGAGGCUGGACUCAAACUUGGGUCAUGUGCACGACAAAGAAGAUGCUAGCUAUCCAGCAGCUCAACCUGCCUUGCUGUGUUUCCUGAGAAGCCAUUUCCGAAGACACAGUUUGGUGAGCCCCAGAUAAAACUUGAUUCUUGCUUGGUAGCUUUCCGAAGGCCUAAUAGCAAGCAUCAUUAGUGAAACUCAGCUGCCACCUGACUGCACACAGCAAAGACGUCAGAGCAGUUCCACUUAAAACAAUCAUGAAUUUCUUGGGAUAUAAUCCCAAUGGCAAUUGUUUUUUGUGUGGCCCCAAAGAAAAAGUCAGUGUCUUCAGCAGUUCUUCAGAGACCUUGUAAAGAAGUCCACUCUGUAUCAAGCAACUAAGUAACUCUAGGUUGCUCUGAAGAAUUGAAUUUUCCUGGAAGAUUCA